UACGAAGGGGGCUAGCGUUGCUCGGAAUCACUGGGCGUAAAGCGCACGUAGGCGGAUUGUUAAGUCAGGGGUGAAAUCCUGGAGCUCAACUCCAGAACUGCCUUUGAUACUGGCGAUCUUGAGUCCGGAAGAGGUGAGUGGAACUCCGAGUGUAGCGGUGAAAUGCGCAGAUAUCGGGAGGAACACCAAUGGCGAAGGCAGCUCGCUGGGACGGUACUGACGCUGAGACGCGAAAGCGUGGGGAGCAAACAGG
rnacentral:rRNA from 1 species